rnacentral:rRNA from 1 species
GUGCCAGCAGCCGCGGUAAGACGAACCGUGCGAACGUUGUUCGGAAUCACUGGGCUUAAAGGGCGCGUAGGCGGCCGGGUUGGUCGUGGGUGAAAUCCCCCAGCUUAACUGGGGAAUUGCCUACGAUACUGCCUGGCUCGAGGGAGGAAGGGGCGGCCGGAACUGUCGGUGGAGCGGUGAAAUGCGUUGAGAUCGACAGGAACGCCGGUGGCGAAAGCGGGCCGCUGGCCCUCUUCUGACGCUGAUGCGCGAAAGCCAGGGGAGCGAACGGGAUUAGAUACCCCGGUAGUCC